ACCUUGCGGGUGCUAUACAUGCAAGUCGAGCGGACAGAUGGGAGCUUGCUCCCUGAUGUUAGCGGCGGACGGGUGAGUAACACGUGGGUAACCUGCCUGUAAGACUGGGAUAACUCCGGGAAACCGGGGCUAAUACCGGAUGGUUGUUUGAACCGCAUGGUUCAAACAUAAAAGGUGGCUUCGGCUACCACUUUCUGAUGGACCCCCGGCGCAUUAUCUAUUUGGUGAGGUAACGGCUCUCCAAGGCGACAAUGCGUAUCCGACCUGAGAGGGGGAUCGGCCACACUGGGACUGAGACACGGCCCACACUCCUACGGGAGGCGGCAGUAGGGAAUCUUCCCCAAUGGACGAAAGUCUGACAGAGCAACGCCCCGUGAGUGAUGAAAGUUUUCUGAUCGUAAAGCUCUGUUGUUAGGGAAAAACAAGUACCGUUCAAAUAGGGCGGGACCUUGACGGUACCUAUCCAAAAAGCCACGGCUAACUACCUGCCCGCAGCCCCGGUAAUACCUAGGUGGCAAGCGUUGUCCGGAAUUAUUGGGCGUAAAGGGCUCCCAGGGGGUUUCUUAAGUCUGAUGUGAAAGCCCCCGGCUCAACCGGGGAGGGUCAUUGGAAACUGGGGAACUUGAGUGCAAAAAAAGAGAGUGGAAUUCCACGUGUAACGGUGAAAUGCGUAAAAAUGUGGAAGAACACCAGUGGCGAAGGCGACUCUCUGGUCUGUAACUGACGCUGAGGAGCGAAAGCGUGGGGAGCGAACAGGAUUAAAUACCCUGGUAGUCCACGCCGUAAACGAUGAAUGCUAAGUGUUAGGGGGUUUCCGCCCCUUAGUGGUGCAGCUAACGCAUUAAGCACUCCCCCUGGGGGAGUACGGGCGCAAAACUGAAACUCCAAGGAAUUGAACGGGGGCCCCCGCCCAACGGGGUGGAACACUGGUGGUUUAUAUUUCAAACCACCCCGAAAACCCUUACCCAGGGUCUUGGACAUUCCUCUGGACACCCCCUGAAGAAUAGGACCGUUCCCCCUCUCGGGGGCACAAUUGACAAGAGGUGGCAUGGUGUGUCGUUCUUCUCCUUCGUGUGGAGAAUGUUUGUGGUUAUAACUCCCACAAGCACCACCCUUUGAUCUUUUAUUUGCCACCAUUCUGUUGUGGGCGCCUCUUAUAGAGACUGCUCGGCGUACGAACACGCAGGAAAGAGGGGGGGAAGAUGCUCUAAAUAUCAUGGUUCCUAUGAACCAUCGGGCGAUCAACAUGCUGACUAUGGUGGCGAGAUACAUACAGAGCGGGCGAACACGCCUCAGAGAUAGAAUGCCACUAAUACCUCU
rnacentral:rRNA from 1 species